rnacentral:rRNA from 1 species
GCUCAGGAUGAACGCUGGCGGCAUGCUUUUGGUCAAGUCGGACGGGAAGUGGUGUUUCCAGGAAGGACGGGUGAGUAACGCGUAAGAACCUGCCCUUGGAGGGAACAACAACAGUUGAAACGGCUGCUAAUACCCCGUAUUAGGAGCAAAGGAGGAAUCCGCCCGAGGAGGGCUCGGUACGUCCAUUAGCCAGUUGGUGAGGUACAGCUUUCCGGGCGAUGAUCAGCUGGUCCGAGGAUGAUCAGCCACACUGGGGACUUUGACACGACAGACUUACGGGAGCAGUGGGGAAUUCUUCCGCAAUGGGCGAAAAUGACGGAGCAAUGCCGUGGAGGUAGAAGGGUCAGGUCCCGAACCCCUUUCCAGAAGAAGCAAUGACGGUAUCUGGGGAAUAAGAUCGGCUUAACUGCGCCAGGUAGCCGCGGUAAUACAGAGGAUGCAAGCGUUAUCCGAAUGAUUGGGUAAAGGUGUCCAGGUGGUUUUUAAGUCCGCAAAAUCCCCAGGGCCCAACCCCUGACAGGGCGGUGGAAACUACCGCCGGAGUACGGUAGCAGAGGGAAUUUCCGGUGGAGCGGUGAAUGCGCAGAGAUCGGAAAGAACACCAACGGCGAAAGCACUCUGGCUGGGCCGACACUGACACUGAGAGACGAAAGCUAGGGGAGCGAAUGGGAUUGAUACCCCAGUAGUCCUAGCCGCAAAUGGAUGGAUACCAGGCGCUGUGGUAUCGACCCGUGAAGUGCUGAAGUUAACGCGUUAAGUCCUGCCUGGGGAGUACGUUCCAAAGAAUGAAACCAAAGGAAUUGAUUUAACCCGCACAAGCGGUGGAGCAUGGUUUAAUUCAGUAAAAGCGAAGAACCCUUACCAGGGCUUGACAUGCCGCGAAUCCUUUGAAAGAGGGGUGCCUGGGAACGCGGACACAGGUGGUGCAUGGCCGUCGUCAGCUCGUGCCGUAAGGUGUUAAGAGUCCCGCAACGAGCGCAACCCUCGUGUUUAGUUGCCACCGCUGAGUUUGGAACCCUGAACAGACUGCCGGUGAUAAAGCCGGAGGAAGGUGAGGAUGACGUCAAGUCAUCAUGCCCCCUUAUGCCCCUGGGCGACACACGUGCUACAAUGGCUGGACAGUAUCGCGAUCCCGCGAGGGUGAGCUAACCCAAAACCCGUCCCAGUUCGGAUUGCAGGCUGCAACUCGCCUGCAUGAAGCCGGAAUCGCUAGUAAUCGCCGGUCAGCCAAUGGCGGUGAAUUCUGUUCCUGGCCUUGUGCCACCCGCCCGUCACACUAUGGAGCUGGCCAUGCCCGAAGUCACCGUUACCUUAACCGCAAGGGAGGGGAAGGCAGGGCCAGUGACUGGAGUGAAGUCGUAACAAGGUAGCCGUACUGGAAGGUGCGGCUG